CAUGAUCACAAAGGGGCCAUUCCCAAAAGAUGGCAAGCCACGUACUCAAUGGAGACUAGGCCAAAUUCUAAAUGGCUGUAUCCCCUCCCGGCCUCCCCCACAAUCACUUCCUAGGACACCCGAGCUGCUUGCCCAGGGUCCUGUUUCCCUGCUAACUCCAGAGAAGCAUCCCAGGGCUUUGUGACAGUCUCUGAUUCCCUUCCCUUCUCGUUAAGAAUCAUAUUGUAUAGUAGCUUUCAGACCAUACAGUAUUCAUUGGGUUACUCCUAUUAUUAUCAAGUAGCUGGAAUUGUGAAGGUCGGAGUAGUUAGAUCUUUAGCUUUUAUUCCUUAUUUUUUUGUAUUACUCUCCAUGUGUAUAAAUUAUUGAUCAUGUUGCUGGCUUUUAUAAACUCUAAGCGAAGGAGGAGCACUGCCUCAGCCUUUGCACAUGGUAAUGAAGCACUGUUUUUAAAUAAAAGAGAGAAACACCA